rnacentral:lncRNA from 1 species
UGCCAGCACCUGGAGCAGUUUCCGCAGUCGAUGAUGGCGUUGUAGGAGGCGUUUACCGAGCCGAAGUAGUACUGGGUCUGUUUCAUGACGCAGCUGCUCUCGCGCGUCUCGGGGCUCCCCUCGGCCUCCGCGGGGUCUGCGAGGGCCCAGAGCGCCUCAGCUCCGCCCACAGACCCUGGCAAGGUCUCCGGCCUCCCUCAGUCGUAGACCCCACCCUCCCCAUGGAGUCGUCUUAGCUCAGAUUGGGGACCCGGACUUGAGGAGGCGCCUCCAAAGCCCUACCUACCUGCUUGGAACCAGCUGUGGUAGAUGAGGCCGUAGAGAAGCUGCUGGAACAGGGACCUGCAGCGCACGGGGAGCCGAGUGCAGGUGGUCAGCAGAGGACGAUGCCAUGCCCUACUUCUCUUCUGAGCCCUCCCGGCCAGGGAGCACCUUCUCUACCCACCUCCCGCUCAGGACUCACCAGGCGGCAGCAGAGGUCCACCAGGCCAGGUUAAGGAAAUCUGCAACGGUGGGCUGCAGUGGAGAGAGGGGCGUGGACUGCCACUGCUGCCCCUCGCCCUAGGUCACCCCCAGCUUUAUCAAAUGUCAGAGCACCAGGAAUCCUCCAUCAUCAAUGAGGACACAGAGCUGCGGCGGUAGAAGCUGGCAUUGAAGGGCUCAGGGUUCUCUGUCCAGUCCUCAGCUGCCCUGGAGCACCCAAGAGGCAGACUGGCUGGGUGAUGCCUACGUGUUGAGAUCCUGGUCCCUCCACACACGCUCUACCAGCUGCUGCGUGAUGCCCGUGUCCAAGAUCAGGUUGUGCAGAAGGAAGUUGUUGCCUGGAACAGGAGGGGAGGGGUGGGGGUGGGGGCAUCUUCUUGCAGCUCCUUGCCCACCCUCACCCCCACCCUUAAGGCUCCACCAGGAGCCUCCUCCAUGACCUGGCCCUGGCCCAGGCCCAGCCCUUAGCUUGUGCCUGCUUAUUUCCACACCUGCCCGGCCUCUGGGUUCCUCUGGGCUGGCCCCAUGCUGCCUGGGCACUGCCCAGAGCCAGCUGCCCUGCCAGGCACUCACACUGCUUGGAGUCUGGAGUCACUUUCUCCAUGAGCUCAAUAAAGUUUUUCAGGAACUCGG